UCGGUGAGGAUCCUUCCUGGAACGCGGAUAAACAUAACCCAAACUCUUUUCUCUUCCCUGCUUUCUUUCACUUAAUCCGUCCCGGUGAGAUAUCCAGUCCUGAAAAAGAACAUGACUUUCAAGAAAAGCAUAUCUGGAAGCGGAAGUAACCAAAUGAUGACAAGAAUAACACUAAAACGUAUGCGUGCUUCAAGCCCCUAAGCUUUAGUAGCAGAACAAGCAUGUGAGAAACAUGUCUAUAGUAAACCACUUGUACCUAUUUUAAUGUGAGAAACUUGUCUAUAGCAAACUGUUUCCUAUUUUGUUUCAGUUACCCUUGAACCAAAAAGAAGGGGGGGAUUCAAUCCCAUGUAAUAUACCAUCCCAGACAUUCAUUUGUCCCCUGCAGAUUCCAAGCGUGAAAAUUCAAGCAUCAUAACUAGAGGCUUUAUGGAGACAAGCAAAGCACCUAAACACACAGGUACUUGGUUAACAGAGCAAAAAAUGCCACGGGAAAGUGAAUGUCAUGCUUAUUUCUUAGAAGGAAAUUGCAGACUAUUAGUAUAGCAUAGCAGUCACAACACUUCCACAACACAUCUUCAAGAUUUGCUGAGUAUUGUAUAACACCAGUACAAAUGUUGCUUUUCGAGAUUUGUGAAUCAAGUAAGCCAGUCCAAUUUGAAGUAAACAACAAAAUUCUACAUGUCUCACGACAUUUUAUAUAAAACUGGUAUUUCAAAAUAGGAUAAAACGGCUCAUUUUGAGCAUCAGUAAUAAUCUACUCACGACAUUAUUUUGUACUUGGACUAAACAAGUAAACACCAAUAUUAUGCAAACUAAGGAGAUUGUGUUCAGAUUUACAAUCAUAACGCAUUAAACUACCUUCGGAGAAACGUAAAUCAUCCGCCACUUUUUGAGCAAAGUCCAUCUGAAAAAUUUGUACCCUCUCAAGAAUAAAAUUCCUUAAUGGUCUUGGCUGAAAUCUGGUUCAUUCACUACAAAAUCAUAACCUGAUUUGUAUUAAAAAAAGGCCACAACAACACAUAAUCAUAGCAAAUAGGUAACACAAAACUUAGGCGUGAAGAAGGAAAAAGUGUACCUGAAUAUUUCCGUCUCAAACUCUUCAUGGCUACAAAUCAUGUCCAUAGCCACACCAAAAUCAAGAACGAACCCCUUAUUUGUAUGGGUAACAACAUUUCUUUUUAAAUGCCAAGCACAUAAUCGGUGACGGGCACAAGGAAUAACUGCCUUUAUUGCAUUUCUCAUUGCACCAUCCCCAUCAGUGACAACUGAGAUAGGUUCCUUUUUUUCCAUGGCCUCCAAAAAUGUUUCCAAUACCCACUUAUAUGUGUCCUCAGUCUCAUCAGCAAUUAAUGCACACCCAAAAAUUGUGGUAACAUAGUGAUGAUUUACACUGGCCAAAAUUACUAGUGGCUUCCUAUAAGCAUUGGUGCGGUAUGUAGAGUCAAAGACAAGAACAUCACCAAAACAUUGGUAAUCCAAACGAGAUUGAGAAUCUGUCCAAAAGAGUCGUAUCAAUCGCUUCUCCACGUCAACGGCAUACUUGUAAAAGAAAUUUGGCUCACCAUUUGCUCGACCAUCCAAAUAUGCCAACACUUGAGAGGCAUCACCAACUUCAAAUGCAUUUCUAAAGUUAAUAUUAAUUAUUUUAAUAUAAUAUUUCAAAAGAGGCCGCUGAAAAAUUUGAUCUAUCACUAAAGGUAAUGGAAACCUAUAAUAGCAGGUUUCUCUAAUAUCGUUACCAUAACUAUAAGCACUGUAACAUUGUCAAGAUCAAAUGCUAAACUUCACAAAAUGAUGAAUGGAAACUGAUUUAUUAUGAUUAAAUGACAAAAUUAGCUAAAAUAUUAAUCAAAUGAAAAUCAAAACUAUAAAUUCUUCAAAAUUAUUAAACCUUCCCUAUUUCAUCCUAAAAUUCACGAAAAAUCUGUCCAAAAAACAUAUUAAAGCAUGCCAACAACAAUUCAGAUUUUGAAGGGACAAAAUUGAUUGUAUUUUCCUAAUUGUUAUGGGCCUUAGUAACAUUAAGCCAAAAUUCGAGGGUUAAACAUGCAAUUUCUGAAAUUUGUUGCAUGCAUGUUACGAAGCUUUCUUAUGCUUCUGCAAUUUCUUAUCCGCAAGGUUCUGCAAGUUUCCAUACCGCAACUUUCUUUCCAUUUCAGCAUGCAGACAUGUUCACCAACUACCAGGAUCUUAACUCUCAAUUAUCAACUAAAUCAAAAGCUACAUUUUGUUGCAGGAUUAAAGCAAAAAUCUGAGCUGACCGUCAGGGACAAAGGGAACUAAUCAGCAAAAGAAAAAAAAUGCAGCAGGACCUUUCUCUGCAAAAUCACAUUUACAAGCUUUCCGUAGCUCUCGGCUAUUCAUCACCUAAAUCUAUCGCACAACAAUGAACGAAAAGGGAACUACAACAUGCCAUUUUGAUAAGAAAAACAAUUCCAUCCCUCUAGCAUCAAGAACAUGAACUAAACUACCCAACCUGAUAAACCCUCUUUCUGAAACAAGAACAUACAACGCAGGAGCAAAGAAUCUGGCUUGACUGAGAUAGAAAGAGGGAGGCCUCAACAACUCGAGCGUAUAAAACACAAAAGAAAGACCAAUGCAACAUCAAAACCUUAGGUUUCCUUUUAAAAUUCUGGUUGAAGACUUUUUGCGAGAAAAUUAUUUCAAUCAGUACCAACCUACCCCAUUACCGAUCACUGGAUUGAGAGCAAGAGGAAAGGAAAGAGGAUAUACAAACGGAUACUUAUGCAUAUUUUAAUAGAAAAUAAGUACAGAAUUCAUUCAUCAAAGCUGUCAACGGAUACUUAGGCAUAUUUUAAUAGAAAAUAAUUGCGGUAAUUUUUAUACAUACCGAAAAUUAAUAGAAAAGAAAAAUCAAAGUCUGAUUUAUGACUUCUAAUUUUUAAAAUUUAAGGGGCAGCCAACCAGAGACAAUAUGAUAACUAACAAUUAAUGUGUUCCAUUUUUCAAGUGGGAAUACAAAAUGAAAGAUCAAAAAAUAUCUAGAGAAAAAGGACAAAACCGUUUUCCAGGAAAUAGGUAGUCAUUGUCUGCAAGUCAUUUCUACUGAUUUUCAUUUCUUAGUAUUGAAUUGCACCGGCCAAACCCACCCUUGAGGGGGCCUUAACUUCCACGUUUUGCAAAACAGCCACAACAAUAAAGGACAAAAAAAUUAAAAUCAAAGAAAACAGCAAGGACCUCUGUUUUGUCGGUUGGAGGAAGAAUCAGGACGCAGCAAAUUCACAACCUUAGAUUCAAGAACUUAAAGCUUAAAAAAAAUAUAUAUAUAUAUAUAUAUAUUGGAACACCAGAAAUUCAAAAGGCAAAAAAUGCAGAAUCAAGCAAAAAAGGAAGAUAGGAAAACAUCCCUUUAUGCAAAAUUGAAGGAGGUAUAUUAAUAUCUUUUCCCUCUCUGCAAAAUUUCAAGUUAUAUUAUAAGAAACUGAUGAAGCUGCACUCAUCCCAUCACCACAAACAAGACUGGAAAGAGAGUAUUAGUGCUUCUCAUCUAAAUAUGUACAUCUGAUUAAACCCAACAACAAAAAAAGAAAAGAAAAGCUACAAAAACCCAUAAGACAAAAGGGGGGGAAAACAGAAGAAGAAGAAGAGGAAGAAAGCAGGUACAAGGAAGAUGAAAUCACUGUCUCUAAUAUGAUUAUUUAGUUUCCAACAGAAGUAGGUCUAUUUUCAGCCAAUCCCAAGGGUGAUCUUGAGCGCUGUUGUCGACUGACAAGGGUGAUUUCUUUAAGAGCUGGUCUCAUCUCUGGCUGCUGAAGAGCACAGAGUAGCAAUCAUAACACACAGAUUUCUCUUUGACAUUUCACCAAACAUCUUAUAUGCAUUCACAAAUUAAUCACAUUUAACUUAAACGCCUAGUCAAGUCCUAGAUGCUUCAUAUGGCUAUUAAGCAUGUUUUACCAGUAGACAAUCCAAACUACAACCAAAUCAAGGCUAGAUGUUUCAGUGGACAUUUUCAGCCCCAAAAUUGCAAUAAAAUCUUCAAAUUCUCAGCCUUGAUUUCGCAAGAAAAUCUUGACAAACAAAACAAAUGAAAUAUAAAUAAAUUACAGCAAUAUAAUCAAACGAUUUCAAGAGGACAUGAUGGGCUAACCUCGUCACUGCUAUCUUUGAUUGGCUACCACCGUCGAAAAACCCUUUUGUUGUGUCUGCAUUUGGCAGCACCCAAAAACAAUCUAUCGAUGAGAAAGGAUAGAGGGAAAGUGGGAACUGAAGAUGAAAAUUUGAAGUGGGAAAAUUUAUUCGCUUGUAACCAAGAGAAAGUGUGGACCAAAGUGGAAAUCUUUGCCUUCAAUCGUAUGUUGGAACUGAGAACUAAGUAAUAAGAAG
rnacentral:lncRNA from 1 species